rnacentral:misc_RNA from 1 species
UUUUAUCUUUUUAAUCCACAGAAAGGUGCUGACUUCCCAAAGUUACCAACAAGCUAGCCCGGCUGCAGACCGUGUAGACAAAACGGACGAAAAUCACACAUUUAUUUUACAGACACUUACUCAUGUGCCAUCGAAAAAACCAAAAUAUAAAGCGUCUAUCAAAUAUCCAGUGCUAUUAGAAUUUAGAUAAAAAUCAAUUCUUUAUUAAUUUCCUCGUUAAAUUGGUGCAGAUAAAAUUGCAACGCAUAAAAGAUAGUGACAAUCAUCACAAGUAGAUACUUUUGUGCGCGCCACCUGAAAAGGUUGUGCAGCACUGAAAGGGAAUAGCUUGUUCACUGUUAUCGUUGUCGAUAUAUGUUUUUUUCCAACUAAUCGAAACCGGUGGUUGUUAGGAUUAAAAUAAAUUACCGAAAACAAACAAUUUGCAAUAAAUUGAAAUAAUCCGUUCAUACAAACUACACUUAAGUAACUUAGAUUUAAAUUUGCUAAUUAACUUUUCUAAUAAAGUCAUAAAUUAAUACUUUAUAAAAAAAUGGGCAAACAGAAUAGCAAACUUAAACCCGAGGUUCUCGAGGAUUUGAAACAAAAUACAGAAUUCACAGAUGCUGAAAUUCAAGAAUGGUACAAAGGCUUCCUCAAGGAUUGUCCCAGUGGUCAUUUGUCCGUAGAAGAAUUUAAGAAAAUUUAUGGAAAUUUCUUUCCUUAUGGUGAUGCUAGUAAAUUUGCAGAACAUGUUUUUAGAACGUUCGAUGCGAAUGGAGACGGAACUAUUGAUUUUCGGGAGUUCCUUUGCGCUCUGAGCGUGACUUCACGAGGCAAAUUGGAACAAAAACUGAAAUGGGCCUUUUCCAUGUAUGAUCUAGAUGGUAACGGGUAUAUUUCACGUCAAGAAAUGUUAGAAAUUGUAACGGCAAUAUAUAAAAUGGUGGGAACGGUCAUGAAAAUGCCCGAAGAUGAGAGUACACCUGAAAAACGAACAGAUAAAAUAUUCCGACAAAUGGAUCGCAAUAAAGAUGGAAAAUUAAGUUUGGAAGAGUUUAUUGAAGGUGCUAAGAGCGAUCCGUCGAUUGUUCGGCUUUUGCAAUGUGAUCCGCAGGCGCAGUGAAUAAUCUCACAAUUUACAAAUAAUGAAAAUAUUAAUUAUAAUUACAAAGAAAGAAAAAAGUUCCCUCUUCCUAUAAACAACAAGCUAAUUAUUUUAUAAACCUAUACAAUUAAUUUACUUCGUUUAGUCAAUUUAUUCCUUCUAUUUUUUCCUUUUUGUAAUAUUUCCAAUAAUUUUUAUACUUUGAUUUUUAUUUAUUUCGUAAUAAUUCUAUUCUUGUAAAUUUCGGUUUAAAUAUUUAUUUAUUCGAAAUAAACAAGAAAAUCGUUUUUUUCUCUUUAAAUAAGCGUAUAAAGUAAUUAAAGCAACUAUUUAAGGAUAUUAUUUAAAUAUACAGUUGUGUAAUAAAAAAAAAAUCGAAGAAAAAAAACUACAAAAAUAAAGUGAAACAAAAAAAUGGGUAAAUACUACGUCAGACACAAAGUCAAGAAAAAAAACUGCAUGAAGACAGAAGUCACCUUUGUGCUAAUCCAAUUCUUUCCAUAAGAAGUAAUGUUCCAGCAAUAAAAUUUUCAUUUAAUUUUCAAA